CGGAUCUGAAUUCAGUGGCAAAAAUCGUGGCUCCGCAGGAUUGAAUGAUUUCAGCGGUUGCGGAUCCACAGGUUUGAAUUUUCUUACUUUCUCUAGUGCCUUGACAAAUCUCCUAAGCAUGAUAGCUUUUUUCAGAUUGCUCCAAUUUUUUUGAGGUUGUAGCUUUGAUUGAUCUUCAGCCUUCGGCUCUGUUUUUCUGUCUAUGCAAUUGAUGAUGUUGUAAGAUUCAUGAGAUCUUUCCUUCAAAUCCUUUGCAUUAUUCUGCAUAUAAUUGGGGUUUGAUUCUCCUAAGCUAUCUUUAGAAGUAUCUGCUGACGUUGAGGUUAAGAAUCUCUGUCCUUCAGCAUAUGUCCUCUCAUGUACCCUCUGAUCUGAAUGUAGGUCACCAUUGAUUGAGUGAUCAUCAGGACAAUCAUCUUGGAUGUCUGGAAGAGGAAUUUCAUCAAUGGCCUUUUCUACCAGCUUUAUGGCUUCAAUGUGGUGGAGUUCCAUCUUUUGACCAUUCGCUUUACAAGUAUCCAUAUUAAUAUCCCAAUCUUUCUCAAAAACAACUGACUGGCCAUCAAAAUUUCUCCUUUGCAGGGAUUUGUUAUCAUCAUUCUGUUCUUCCUUUCUUGCUUCUUCAGGUGUUGUUUGGAUUCCAUCUUCUGUAUAAUUACCUGACGACAGGUGCUUAUGUAUC
rnacentral:lncRNA from 1 species